AUGGUUCAGUGCUACGACUUU
rnacentral:siRNA from 1 species